CAGCCAUUUUCUACACCACGUCUCUGGGAAGAUUUGGCUGACCUGAGGAAAUUCUGUCCUCUUACAUUUACAAGGUUAAGGCUUAACAAGGUUGUUGAGUGACAUGUUUUAAAGGAUUCUCUGGCAUGUUCUAAGUCUCUGGUGAAGAAUGUCCACCGUAAAAGAGAAGCCAUCAUAAAAGCUCUUUGUCCGCACCUGAAUGAUGAUGAUGGAUUUCUUAUCGAGGAG